AAUCCAAGAAUUUCACCUCCAACAGUUAAAUACGAAUGCCCCCAACUAUCCCUCUUCAUCAUUACCUCGCUUCUGGCAACCAACAGCUUAGAAUCGAGGUCCAAUGCUAUUAUUCCAUGCUGAGCUGUGCACGACGAGAGCCUGCUUGGAACACUCCUAUUUCCUCAAAGUAAAAGUCAAGGAUCCCGCACCACACAAUAAAGUGCAGAUACGCUCCCCUUGAAAGGGCCAAAUGCGCGCCACGUACUCACCACUGGGGCGGACAGGCGGCACCUGGCAGAACUCCAACUACGAGCUUUUUAACCGCAACAACUUUAAUAUACGCUAUUGGAGCUGGAAUUACCGC
rnacentral:misc_RNA from 1 species